AUAGUCUGGGAUACCACUUGGAAACAGGUGCUAAUACCGGAUAAGAAAGCAGAUCGCAUGAUCAGCUUUUAAAAGGCGGCGUAAGCUGUCGCUAUGGGAUGGCCCCGCGGUGCAUUAGCUAGUUGGUAAGGUAAAGGCUUACCAAGGCGAUGAUGCAUAGCCGAGUUGAGAGACUGAUCGGCCACAUUGGGACUGAGACACGGCCCAAACUCCUACGGGAGGCAGCAGUAGGGAAUCUUCCACAAUGGACGCAAGUCUGAUGGAGCAACGCCGCGUGAGUGAAGAAGGUUUUCGGAUCGUAAAGCUCUGUUGUUGGUGAAGAAGGAUAGAGGUAGUAACUGGCCUUUAUUUGACGGUAAUCAACCAGAAAGUCACGGCUAACUACGUGCCAGCAGCCGCGGUAAUACGUAGGUGGCAAGCGUUGUCCGGAUUUAUUGGGCGUAAAGCGAGCGCAGGCGGAAGAAUAAGUCUGAUGUGAAAGCCCUCGGCUUAACCGAGGAACUGCAUCGGAAACUGUUUUUCUUGAGUGCAGAAGAGGAGAGUGGAACUCCAUGUGUAGCGGUGGAAUGCGUAGAUAUAUGGAAGAACACCAGUGGCGAAGGCGGCUCUCUGGUCUGCAACUGACGCUGAGGCUCGAAAGCAUGGGUAGCGAACAGGAUUAGAUACCCUGGUAGUCCAUGCCGUAAACGAUGAGUGCUAAGUGUUGGGAGGUUUCCGCCUCUCAGUGCUGCAGCUAACGCAUUAAGCACUCCGCCUGGGGAGUACGACCGCAAGGUUGAAACUCAAAGGAAUUGACGGGGGCCCGCACAAGCGGUGGAGCAUGUGGUUUAAUUCGAAGCAACGCGAAGAACCUUACCAGGUCUUGACAUCUAGUGCCAUUUGUAGAGAUACAAAGUUCCCUUCGGGGACGCUAAGACAGGUGGUGCAUGGCUGUCGUCAGCUCGUGUCGUGAGAUGUUGGGUUAAGUCCCGCAACGAGCGCAACCCUUGUUAUUAGUUGCCAGCAUUAAGUUGGGCACUCUAAUGAGACUGCCGGUGACAAACCGGAGGAAGGUGGGGAUGACGUCAAGUCAUCAUGCCCCUUAUGACCUGGGCUACACACGUGCUACAAUGGGCAGUACAACGAGAAGCGAGCCUGCGAAGGCAAGCGAAUCUCUGAAAGCUGUUCUCAGUU
rnacentral:rRNA from 1 species